CGUCUUUAGGGUUGUAUACAAUACAAUAAUGGAAUAGGGUUGUAUACAAUACAAUAAUGAAAUGUAUUACAUAUGAUAACUAUUUCUAUAUAAUGUAUUUACAUAUAUGUGGACUCUUUACUUAAUACUAAGGAAUAGCCACACAAGUUCUCAUAUCAUUUGAUUCCUAUGGUAUUAUGAUGGAAGCAUUGAAAUGGAUAUAGCACCAUGGAGUGUUUACUUUGGUGAAUUAAGGCCUAGCAUUGACGGAUGGUCCUAUCGAUCGGUUUGCCUGGCUUGAGGUCACUAACCUACCAAUUGUUUAUUGGAAGGAGCAUGAUCCUCUGCAUUUUCCAGUCUUUGACGCUAUUGAGUACAACAUGAAGGCCUUUAACCUCAUGCUGGAGGAAGAAGAAGAUGCAACAGAGUCCAGUAGUGAUGGCUCUCCAAAGGCUGAAAGCGUGGAAAGAGGGAUGGCUCUAUUCCAUCUCAUUCUGGUUGUGUACGCUAUUGGUGGGUCUAAAAAGUUUUUAAAACUUUCUAAAAUAUUAAAUAUUAUUUUUGCAUAAUUUUAUUCUUGUUAAUUACUAUAAUUAAUUAUUAGAAAAGAUUCAAGGCAGCUCAUUUCACUCCAGAACAUAUAUUAUUAUUAUUAUUAUUAUAAAACACAUUGAAUUUUAGUGAUUAAAGCGCACACAUUAUUAUUAUUCAAUAUCGACACAGACAAGAUACAUAGAGGGAUGACCGUCUUGAUUACAUAAAUACCCACAAUAUCAGAAGGCAUCGCCGUUUCAUGCUACAACCUCCAUAGAAGGGAAGCAUGUAAGGAGCCAGUCUUGUCAUGUGAGUGAAUAUAUAUGGUAGCCUAGCAAGCCAAACCAAAAGGUACA